UACGUAGGUGGCAAGCGUUGUCCGGAUUUAUUGGGUGUAAAGGGAGCGCAGACGGCUGUGCAAGUCUGAAGUGAAAACCUUGGGCUCAACCGAAGGAUUGCUUUGGAAACUGUAUAGCUUGAGUACCGGAGGGGUAAGCGGAAUUCCUGGUGUAGCGGUGAAAUGCGUAGAUAUCAGGAGGAACACCGGUGGCGAAGGCGGCUUACUGGACGGCAACUGACGUUGAGGCUCGAAAGCGUGGGGAGCAAACAGGAUUAGAUACCCCGGUAGUCCCUGAG
rnacentral:rRNA from 1 species